GGCUCUAAUCAGAGCAAGUACUGGAACUGCUGCCACCAACUUCUCAAACUGUCUUGGGUUGGGGAGCUUAGAGUGAGAAUUUCAAGCCACUUGAGGCCACAGACAACCAAAGAGAAAUAUGCGGAAUUGCAAGUGUCCCCAAAAUGAAACUAUAAACCUCACUCUACACUACAAACAAGAAGGAUCCAAGGGGCACCAUGAGAUCCACUCACAUAAAAGGCAACAAUUAACAUCAAGACAACUCUACCAGCUCCUCCACAUAUCAUGGCCAGCAUCUGAACAAAUAACCGCUAGAGGCUACUGAGUGUGCCAACAGUUCUCAAAUCCAUUGCUAUCAGAGAACUAGAUGAACUUGAUCUUGGGGUGACUGAAAUAAAGAGUCUCCCACUGAAACACUA